rnacentral:rRNA from 1 species
UGUCAGAUUAGCUUGUUGGUGGGGUAACGGCCUACCAAGGCGACGAUCUGUAGCUGGUCGUGAGAGGACGAUCACGCCACACUGGGACUGAGACACGGCCCAG